GUCAGGAUAGCUCAGUGAGAGCAGAGAUCGA
rnacentral:tRNA from 1 species